rnacentral:rRNA from 1 species
UACAGAGGUCUCAAGCGUUGUUCGGAUUCAUUGGGCGUAAAGGGUGCGUAGGCGGCGCGGUAAGUCGGGUGUGAAAUCUCGGGGCUUAACUCCGAAACUGCAUUCGAUACUGCCGUGCUUGAGGACUGGAGAGGAGACUGGAAUUUACGGUGUAGCGGUGAAAUGCGUAGAUAUCGUAAGGAAGACCAGUGGCGAAGGCGGGUCUCUGGACAGUUCCUGACACUGAGGCACGAAGGCCAGGGGGAGCAAAACGGG